AGCAUUUUAAGAACAAUACGAGUACCUACCCUACUGAUGGCAGGCACUGGCCCAAAAGGCUGCCAUAGAAAUACUGUGACUCAUGGACCCUGUACCCUUGCCUGGGCAUCAAGAAAAAGUACAAUCUAAAAGCA
ensembl:snoRNA